CGGAGCGUAGCCUAGAAGUCAGGCACUCGGCUUGGGACCGAGAUCACGCGUGUGCGAGUCACGCCAUCCUGACCA
rnacentral:tRNA from 1 species